UUUUUCGAGAGUUUGAUCCUGGCUCAGGAUGAACGCUGGCUGUGUGCCUAAUACAUGCAUGUCGAGCGGAGUUCUUCGGAACUUAGCGGCGAAUGGGUGAGUAACACGUACUUAACGUACCUUUUAGAUUGGGACAACGAUGAGAAAUUAUCGCUAAUACCGGAUACUUAUAAGGAAGGCAUCUUUCUUAUAUAAAAGGAGCUUUCAAGCUCCACUAAAAGAUCGGGGUGCGGAACAUUAGCUAGUUGGUGAGGUAAUGGCUCACCAAGGCUAUGAUGUUUAACGGGGUUGAGAGACUGAUCCGUCACACUGGGACUGAGAUACGGCCCAGACUCCUACGGGAGGCAGCAGUAGGGAAUUUUCCACAAUGGACGAAAGUCUGAUGGAGCGACACAGCGUGCAGGAUGAAGGCCUUCGGGUUGUAAACUGCUGUUAUUUAGGAUGAAAAAAUAGUAGAGGAAAUGCUAUUAUCUUGACAGUACUAAAUCAGAAAGCAACGGCUAACUAUGUGCCAGCAGCCGCGGUAAUACAUAGGUUGCAAGCGUUAUCCGGAAUUAUUGGGCGUAAAGCGUCUGUAGGUUGUUUGUUAAGUCUGGCGUCAAAACUUGGGGCUCAACCCCAAAUCGCGUUGGAUACUGGCAAACUAGAAUUGUGUAGAGGUUAACGGAAUUCCUUGUGAAGCGGUGAAAUGCGUAGAUAUAAGGAAGAACACCAACUUGGCGAAGGCAGUUAACUGGGCACAUAUUGACACUGAGAGACGAAAGCGUGGGGAGCAAACAGGAUUAGAUACCCUGGUAGUCCACGCCGUAAACGAUGAUGAUUAGCUGAUGGGAACCAUCGGCGCAGCUAACGCAUUAAAUCAUCCGCCUGAGUAGUAUGCUCGCAAGAGUGAAACUUAAAGGAAUUGACGGGGAUCCGCACAAGCGGUGGAGCAUGUGGUUUAAUUUGAAGAUACGCGUAGAACCUUACCCACUCUUGACAUCUUCUGCAAAGCUAUAGAGAUAUAGUGGAGGUUAACAGAAUGACAGAUGGUGCAUGGUUGUCGUCAGCUCGUGUCGUGAGAUGUUCGGUUAAGUCCUGCAACGAGCGCAACCCUUAUCCUUAAUUAAAUACCUUAAGGAGACUGCCCGGGUAACUGGGAGGAAGGUGGGGACGACGUCAAAUCAUCAUGCCUCUUACGAGUGGGGCAACACACGUGCUACAAUGGAAGGUACAAAGAGAAGCAAUAUGGCGACAUGGAGCAAAUCUCAAAAAACCUUUCUCAGUUCGGAUUGUAGUCUGCAACUCGACUACAUGAAGUCGGAAUCGCUAGUAAUCGUAGAUCAGCUACGCUACGGUGAAUACGUUCUCGGGUCUUGUACACACCGCCCGUCACACCAUGGGAGCUGGUAAUGCCCGAAGUCGGUUUAGUCAACUACGGAGACAACUGCCUAAGGCAGGACUGGUGACUGGGGUGAAGUCGUAACAAGGUAUCCCUACGAGAACGUGGGGAUGGAUUACCUCCUUU
rfam:Mycoplasma verecundum strain ATCC 27862 genome assembly, contig: EI66DRAFT_NODE_1_len_1568_cov_92_783165.50